UGGGAUACACCCUGUGCUCGCUUUGAAUGAAAUGCAAGCAAGUGAACACAGCUGGUGGUAUCCAGU
rnacentral:pre_miRNA from 4 species